rnacentral:lncRNA from 1 species
AUGUAUGUGAGUGUUGCAGGGAAAUGGUAGCUAUGUUGUGUUCAGACUGAACCCAUAACUUUCUCAUCUGCUUGUAGUAGGAUGUCCUCGAUUGUUUUUCCUUAAAUUUUCUCUGUACAUCCCCUUCCUUACAAUGAUGAUGUCUCGGAACAACUUUUUGUUCUCUUCCCAGAAACAUAGAAGCCAUAUGACAAAAGUACGUCUACACUGAUGGUUU